AAUAGAUACCCCGGUAGUCCACGCCGUAAACGAUGAGUGCUAAGUGUUAGAGGGUUUCCGCCCUUUAGUGCUGCAGCUAACGCAUUAAGCACUCCGCCUGGGGAGUACGGCCGCAAGGCUGAAACUCAAAGGAAUUGACGGGGGCCCGCACAAGCGGUGGAGCAUGUGGUUUAAUUCGAAGCAACGCGAAGAACCUUACCAGGUCUUGACAUCCUCUGCCAACCCUAGAGAUAGGGCGUUCCCCUUCGGGGGACAGAGUGACAGGUGGUGCAUGGUUGUCGUCAGCUCGUGUCGUGAGAUGUUGGGUUAAGUCCCGCAACGAGCGCAACCCUUGAUCUUAGUUGCCAGCAUUCAGUUGGGCACUCUAAGGUGACUGCCGGUGACAAACCGGGAGGAAGGUGGGGAUGACGUCAAAUCAUCAUGCCCCUUAUGACCUGGGCUACACACGUGCUACGAAUGGAUGGUACAAAGAGCUGCGAACCCGCGACGGGUAAGCCAAUCUCAUAAAGCCAUUCUCAGUUCGGAUUGUAGG
rnacentral:rRNA from 1 species